rnacentral:rRNA from 1 species
AUGAACGCUAGCUACAGGCUUAACACAUGCAAGUCGAGGGGCAGCAUGGUCUUAGCUUGCUAAGGCCGAUGGCGACCGGCGCACGGGUGAGUAACACGUAUCCAACCUGCCGUCUACUCUUGGACAGCCUUCUGAAAGGAAGAUUAAUACAAGAUGGCAUCAUGAGUCCGCAUGUUCACAUGAUUAAAGGUAUUCCGGUAGACGAUGGGGAUGCGUUCCAUUAGAUAGUAGGCGGGGUAACGGCCCACCUAGUCUUCGAUGGAUAGGGGUUCUGAGAGGAAGGUCCCCCACAUUGGAACUGAGACACGGUCCAAACUCCUACGGGAGGCAGCAGUGAGGAAUAUUGGUCAAUGGGCGAGAGCCUGAACCAGCCAAGUAGCGUGAAGGAUGACUGCCCUAUGGGUUGUAAACUUCUUUUAUAAAGGAAUAAAGUCGGGUAUGCAUACCCGUUUGCAUGUACUUUAUGAAUAAGGAUCGGCUAACUCCGUGCCAGCAGCCGCGGUAAUACGGAGGAUCCGAGCGUUAUCCGGAUUUAUUGGGUUUAAAGGGAGCGUAGAUGGAUGUUUAAGUCAGUUGUGAAAGUUUGCGGCUCAACCGUAAAAUUGCAGUUGAUACUGGAUAUCUUGAGUGCAGUUGAGGCAGGCGGAAUUCGUGGUGUAGCGGUGAAAUGCUUAGAUAUCACGAAGAACUCCGAUUGCGAAGGCAGCCUGCUAAGCUGCAACUGACAUUGAGGCUCGAAAGUGUGGGUAUCAAACAGGAUUAGAUACCCUGGUAGUCCACACGGUAAACGAUGAAUACUCGCUGUUUGCGAUAUACUGCAAGCGGCCAAGCGAAAGCGUUAAGUAUUCAACCUGGGGAGUACGCCGGCAACGGUGAAACUCAAAGGAAUUGACGGGGGCCCGCACAAGCGGAGGAACAUGUGGUUUAAUUCGAUGAUACGCGAGGAACCUUACCCGGGCUUAAAUUGCAGAUGAAUUACGGUGAAAGCCGUAAGCCGCAAGGCAUCUGUGAAGGUGCUGCAUGGUUGUCGUCAGCUCGUGCCGUGAGGUGUCGGCUUAAGUGCCAUAACGAGCGCAACCCUUGUUGUCAGUUACUAACAGGUUCCGCUGAGGACUCUGACAAGACUGCCAUCGUAAGAUGUGAGGAAGGUGGGGAUGACGUCAAAUCAGCACGGCCCUUACGUCCGGGGCUACACACGUGUUACAAUGGGGGGUACAGAGGGCCGCUACCACGCGAGUGGAUGCCAAUCCCCAAAACCUCUCUCAGUUCGGACUGGAGUCUGCAACCCGACUCCACGAAGCUGGAUUCGCUAGUAAUCGCGCAUCAGCCACGGCGCGGUGAAUACGUUCCCGGGCCUUGUACACACCGCCCGUCAAGCCAUGGGAGCCGGGGGUACCUGAAGUGCGUAACCGCGAGGAGCGCCCUAGGGUAAAACUGGUGACUGGGGCU